UUCUUAAUAUCUAAAGUGUGUUUAGCAAGUCUCACAAUUGUAAAGAAUAUCAACUUUAAUUUUUGUAUAUUGCAUGUGAAGUUCAAGUUCUCGUUUUUAUUUCUUUCUAUGUGAAACCUAUUCUUAUCCACUGUCUUUAUACCUACAAUUUUGGUAUCUAUCAUUCACACAAAAUUUUUUAAAAUUUGUUGAUCUGAUUCAUGUAUGAUUUCAAUUGUUUCAAUACACAAUUGCAUUUUCCAAGUGGUUUUCCUAUGAUUGUUCAAGUUCUUAUUUAUUUUUUGUAUGUGGUGAAAAGUAUUUAAAAGAUUUACCAAAUUGCCACCCUGGCCUGCCAUUUUGAAAUGAAUUUUUCUUUGUUUUAAGUGUGGGCUUUUAAAGAAAGUACGUGUGGGUUCAGGUCCUGGCCAUGGACAAGACUAAGGCCACAGUAGUCAAAGGUGGCCCUUUCCCAAGAGGGACGCAUUCUCCCUGCCUCUCCAGGGCUCAGGAACGGAAGGCAAAGAAGGUAGGGCAGUCUGGGGCUCCCCUGCCCCCUCUCCACUCUGGAAUCUCCGCAAGAAGACUUGAGCCUUCCCCACGCCAAAGCUGCAGGACUUCAAGGGUCAGUGGGACCGCUUCUGUAGGGGCUGAGUGGCCAGGGGCCAUGGAACAGACCUGGAGCAAGUGGCUGAGCCAAGGGAGACAUGCAGGCAAGUGGGUGCUGACCCAGCCAGAGCGGAAGAGAAAGGAGCCAGCCUUAGGGAAGACGCAGGGGAGAGGCGCUGCUGGUGGCCUGUCUGCAGGCCGGCGCUGACACCGCAUCCCUGCGGGGAGUGGAGAGUUUCCCAGGUGCCUCUUCCACCUGGACUGUCACGAGGCUGGAUGUUGCCGUUUCUUCCUGGAUGUCUUGACUUGGCAUCGGCACUGGAGGAGAGGCCUGGAGUGGUUCCUGUGGUCGCCCUGCUUGGCCUCGGGUUCUUCAAACCCUGCUAAGACACUCCCUCUGUGCAGCCACAGAGCUGAGCUGGAGGGCUUCGUCCUCACCCACUGCCCUCCACUGUCAGUGCCUGGCCUCCCGCAGCCUGAGCCUGGGAAGGCAGGAGGCGAGAUCCUGGGCGUGAGAGCCUGGGGCUGCUCCUCUCUCCUCCCUGCACAUGCACACACCUGUGCGUGGCGCCUGUGCGUGGUUUGGUCCUUGUCUUCCCAGACACCAGAUGAGCCUGCAUGGGGUGCCUGAGGUGACAGCUGGUCCAGGUGAGCCCUCACAGGUGUGUGAGGUGACAGCUGGUCCAGGUGAGCACGCACAGGUGUGUGAGGUGACAGCCAGUCCAGGUGAGCCCUCACAGGUGUGUGAGGUGACAGCUGGUCCAGGUGAGCCCUCACAGGUGUGUGAGGUGACAGCUGGUCCAGGGGAGCACGCACAGGUGUGUGAGGUGAGAGCUGGUCCAGGUGAGCCCUCACAGGUGUGUGAGGUGAGAGCUGGUCCAGGGGAGCACGCACAGGUGUGUGAGAUAACAGGUGGUUCAGGUGAGCACGCACAGGUGUGUGAGGUGAGAGCUGGUCCAGGUGAGCCCUCACAGGUGUGUGAGGUGAGAGCUGGUCCAGGUGAGCACGCACAGGUGUGUGAGGUGACAGCUGGUCCAGGUGAGCACUCACAGGUGUGUGAGGUGAGAGCUGGUCCAGGUGAGCCCUCACAGGUGUGUGUGAGGUGAGAGCUGGUCCAGGUGAGCCCGCACAGGUGUGUGAGGUGACAGCUGGUCCAGGUGAGCCCUCACAGGUGUGUGAGGUGAGAGCUGGUCCAGGUGAGCCCUCACAGGUGUGUGUGAGGUGAGAGCUGGUCCAGGUGAGCCCGCACAGGUGUGUGAGGUGAGAGCUGGUCCAGGUGAGCCCUCACAGGUGUGUGAGGUGACAGCUGGUCCAGGUGAGCCCUCACAGGUGUGUGAGGUGACAGCUGGUCCAGGUGAGCCCUCACAGGUGUGUGAGGUGAGAGCUGGUCCAGGUGAGCCCUCACAGGUGUGUGAGGUGAGAGCUGGUCCAGGUGAGCCCGCACAGGUGUGUGAGGUGAGAGCUGGUCCAGGUGAGCCCUCACAGGUGUGUGAGGUGAGAGCUGGUCCAGGUGAGCCCGCACAGGUGUGUGUGAGGUGACAGCUGGUCCAGGUGAGCCCGCACAGGUCUGUG